rnacentral:rRNA from 1 species
AGUGAACGCUGGCGGUAGGCCUAACACAUGCAAGUCGAACGGCAGCACAGUAAGAGCUUGCUCUUACGGGUGGCGAGUGGCGGACGGGUGAGGAAUACAUCGGAAUCUACUUUUUCGUGGGGGAUAACGUAGGGAAACUUACGCUAAUACCGCAUACGACCUACGGGUGAAAGCAGGGGAUCUUCGGACCUUGCGCGAUUGAUUGAGCCGAUGUCGGAUUAGCUAGUUGGCGGGGUAAAGGCCCACCAAGGCGACGAUCCGUGGCUGGUCUGAGAGGAUGAUCAGCCACACUGGAACUGAGACACGGUCCAGACUCCUACGGGAGGCAGCAGUGGGGAAUAUUGGACAAUGGGCGCAAGCCUGAUCCAGCCAUACCGCGUGGGUGAAGAAGGCCUUCGGGUUGUAAAGCCCUUUUGUUGGGAAAGAAAAGCAGCAGGUUAAUACCCCGCUGUUCUGACGGUACCCAAAGAAUAAGCACCGGCUAACUUCGUG